GACGAACGCUGACGGCGUGCUUAACACAUGCAAGUCGAACGGUAAGGCCCUUCGGGGUACACGAGUGGCGAACGGGUGAGUAACACGUGGGUGAUCUGCCCUGCACUUCGGGAUAAGCCUGGGAAACUGGGUCUAAUACCGGAUAGGACCACUGCCUGCAUGGGUGGUGGUGGAAAGCUUUUGCGGUGUGGGAUGGGCCCGCGGCCUGUCAGCUUGUUGGUGGGGUGAUGGCCUACCAAGGCGACGACGGGUAGCCGGCCUGAGAGGGUGACCGGCCACACUGGGACUGAGAUAGUGCCCAGACUCCUACGGGAGGCAGCAGUGGGGAAUAUUGCACAAUGGGCGCAAGCCUGAUGCAGCGACGCCGCGUGAGGGAUGACGGCCUUCGGGUUGUAAACCUCUUUCAGCACCGACGAAGCGCAAGUGACGGUAGGUGCAGAAGAAGGACCGGCCAACUACGUGCCAGCAGCCGCCGUAA
rnacentral:rRNA from 1 species